rnacentral:lncRNA from 1 species
CUUCAUGCCUUUCUCAAAAGCUACAGUAACCAAGAGAAUGAGUACUGGUAUGAAGAGAGACAAGUAAUUUCAUGAAAUAAAAUGGAGAGUCUUCACAGGUAUAGUCAAAGGGUUUCCAACGAGAGCAUCAAGACAACCCACUGCAGGUGUCGCAGGAUGAUCAGAAUGAAGUGGAGCCUCCUACCUGCCCCAUUUACAAAAGCAACUCAAAUUGGAUCAUCUAACAAGGGGGAGAACCCAAGCCACAAGACUCUGAAAACACUGGAGGAAUAAAUCUUCAUGAUGGUGGGUUAGACCAUCGUUUCUUAGCUAUCACCAAAAGCAUAGCAAUGAGAGAGAAAAAAGUAUAAAUUGGAGCUUGCCCGACCACAAACUCUUGUGCUACAAACAACAGCAUCAAGGAACUGAAAAGACCGUGAUGAGAGUAAGAUAAGAUGUCUCGGAGACACACAGGACUGAUACCUGGAAUACAGGGAGAGCUGAGAUCCGUACGUGUACACACGUCUAUUUAGCAUAUGCAGCACAUAUGUAUUGUAUAUAUGGGUCUGGCACUUCAGAGAAAGAGAAAGGUGGGAUGACAACCAAGAGAUGAGUCAUGGGGGUCAACUGUGCGUGUCACUAGGAUGAGCAGGCAAAGCUGAACGCCUCAGAGGAGGAGGCCUGAGAACCCAGCAUUUAAAGAAUCAGCGGAAAAGCAGCUGGCUACUGUGAGGUCCAGGAAGAAGAAACAGAAAGAAAGGCAGCCAUCACAGACAGUGAAAGGCGAGCAUCCAGAGACGCCCGAAGCCUCCCAGCAGGAUGGGUCCCCAUGAAGUGUGCAUCGGGGCAGAGUAAGGUACAUACCAUGAUGGAGAAAGGGGACACCUUAGAAGGUAAAGAAGCUUACCAUGAUGUACGCUAUUUUUAAAACCUUGCUCCAUUUUGUUUUAAAUGCCAGUUACAUCUCAAUAGAUUAUUAUUUUUUUUUGUACCAGGGAUUGAACCCAAGGGUGCUCAACCUCUAAGCCACAUCCCCAGCCCUC